rnacentral:rRNA from 1 species
AUUGAACGCUGGCGGUAUGCUUUACACAUGCAAGUCGAACGGCAGCGCGGUGGAGCUUGGUUCUCUGCCGGCGCGAGGCGAACGGGGGAGUAAUACAUCGGAACGUCUAGAGAAGAGGGGGAGAACCACCCGAAAGGGUGACUAAUAUCGCAUAAAUGCUGUAGAAGAAAGAUGGGGACCUAUUCAUACGUCUAGCGCUUUUUGAACGCCCGAUGUCGGUUUAGCUAGUUGGUGGGGUAAAGGCCCACCAAGGCGAAGACCUGUAGCGGGUCGGAGAGGAUGAUCAGCCACACUGGAACUGAGACACGGUCCAGACUCCUACGGGAGGCAGCAGUGGGGAAUUUUGGACAAUGGGCGCAAGCCUGAUCCAGCCAUACCGCGUGUAUGAAGAAGGCCUUCGGGUUGUAAAGCACUUUUGUUGGGGAAGAAAAGCCACCUGUGAAUACUGGCCGAUUCUGACGGUACCUAAAGAAUAAGCACCGGCUAACUACGUG